rnacentral:rRNA from 1 species
UACGAAGGGGGCUAGCGUUGCUCGGAAUCACUGGGCGUAAAGGGUGCGUAGGCGGGUUUUUAAGUCAGGGGUGAAAUCCUGGAGCUCAACUCCAGAACUGCCUUUGAUACUGGCGAUCUCGAGUCCGGGAGAGGUGAGUGGAACUGCGAGUGUAGAGGUGAAAUUCGUAGAUAUUCGCAAGAACACCAGUGGCGAAGGCGGCUCACUGGCCCGGUACUGACGCUGAGGUGCGAAAGCGUGGGGAGCGAACAGG